rnacentral:misc_RNA from 1 species
GGCGGGGGGAAGUUUAGGGUUUAAUCAAUCAAGUAAAGGAAAAUAUACCCUUUCCAUGUGGCCAUAAAUUAUCCAAGCCAUUUUCUAAUAAUUUGAAGUCUUGGUUUGUUAAAGACUGGUUUUCAAACUUAUCGUCUCCAUAAGCAUUAAUAAACAAACAACUCAAGCAUGCUGUAGAGGUUCUUAACAGACAAUCUGUGAUUGGAAUAUUUGUUUUGACUUGUUUAUACGAAGCCAAACUCACAUCUAGUCAACUUAUAUAAAUCAAAUUUGAAUAUGCCAACCUCAGUUUAGUUCAAUUGUUGCACUACUUGCUUGUUUAAUUGAAUUGAGGUAUUUGGGACAAGCUCUUGCUCAAAUAAACUGAAAACUGUUGACAACACUUGUGGGGUCUGCUACCUUUGUGAAUUUCUUGUGUUUUCGUUUCCCAUGAGCAUUUUGUUUACUGUGUUCAGUUGACUGGUUUGGUGCAUAUUGUUCCUUCAUGAAGCAAAUCUUUUAAAAUAAAGAAUAUAUUAUUUAAGACUAUUUCCCCCAUGCAAAAUGCAGCUAUUGUGCCGUUCUCUUUU